rnacentral:rRNA from 1 species
GACGAACCGUGCGACCGUUGUUCGGAUUCACUGGGCUUAAAGGGCGCGUAGGCGGACAAUCAAGUCAGGGGUGAAAGCCUCCAGCUCAACUGGAGAAGUGCCUUUGAUACUGACUGUCUCGAGGGAGGUAGGGGCAUGUGGAACUUCCGGUGGAGCGGUGAAAUGCGCAGAUAUCAGGAGGAACACCGGUGGCGAAGGCGGGUCUCUGGGCCGAUACUGACGCUGAGGAGCGAAAGCGUGGGGAGCGAACAGG